GCGAUCGUAGCUCAACUGGUCAGAGCGCCAGAGUAUAAAUGUAGAGGUUGCGGGUUCAAGUCCCGCCGGCCGUC
rnacentral:tRNA from 1 species